UCGAUAAACAUGUCGUCUCGAUCAAACAUGUCAUCGCAGUUGGUUGAAGUGUACGGGAAUUUAGAAAUUUCAUGUGUCUGUUUUAUUGUCAUUCACAAUAUUCUUAUCUCAAAACCAAGACAGAGACGGUGGUGGCAAACGGAAUUAUUUAGAAACAGAAACAAACUUGGAGGAAGAGCUUUGAUGAGAGACCUAAGAUUUCAACACAUCAGUGGUAAAUACAAAAACUUCACCCGUAUGGCACCUAAUGACUUCGAAUAUUUGAUAAAUUUGAUUGGCCACAAAAUUAAAAAAACCGAUACUACAUACAGGAAAGCAAUUUCUGUUGAAGAAAGAUUAAGUAUCACUUUGAGAUUUUUAGCCAGCGGAGAUUCCUAUACAAGCCUACAAUAUUUAUUCAGAGUUUCUAAACAAUCGAUAAGUGUUAUAGUUCCAGAGACCUGUCAAGCUAUCGUGGAGGCAUUAAAAGACAACAUCAAGAUGCCUACAUCGCAUCAAGAAUGGGAGGAAAUCAGUUCCGAGUUUCAAAACUGUUGGGAUCUUCCACACGUGGUUGGUGCUAUGGACGGGAAACACAUUAUGUUGCAGGCACCUAUCAAUAGCGGAUCGGAGUUUUAUAAUUAUAAACAAUUUUUUAGUAUUGUUAUGUUCGCUUUAGUUGAUGCUUCAUAUAAAUUUAUAUUUGUCGAU